UGGGAUUUUUGUUCUCGCCGGAAAUUUUUCUGGCAACCCCUGCACUUUUCCUUUUUAUUCUUUCCUCUGCUUUUGUGGGUGUAUUUUAUUUUCUUGGACGGGUGCCUAUUUCACCGGCGAGGAUCUCCGGCAACUCUCGUUCAGACUCGCGGCAGGACACAAUAGAGCCGCACACUCUGCUAAGAUUCAGGAAAACUUGGGCGCAGCAAAGCACACUUUCAGGUUUUUCC
rnacentral:lncRNA from 1 species